CGGAGGAUCCAAGCGUUGUCCGGAUUUAUUGGGUUUAAAGGGUGCGUAGGCGGAUCUUUAAGUCAGUGGUGAAAGCCUGCAGCUUAACUGUAGAACAGCCAUUGAAACUGAAGAUCUUGAAUUUGGUUAAAGUAGGCGGAAUGUAUCAUGUAGCGGUGAAAUGCUUAGAUAUGAUACAGAACACCGAUAGCGAAGGCAGCUUGCUGAACCAAUAUUGACGCUGAGGCACGAAAGCGUGGGGAGCAAACAGGAUUAGAUACCCUGGUAGUCCACGCCCUAAACGUUGAUUACUCGUUGUUGGCGAUAUACUGUCAGCGACUAAGCUAAAGCGUUAAGUAAUCCACCUGGGAAGUACGACCGCAAGGUUG
rnacentral:rRNA from 1 species